AGUGAAAUCCUAAUACGUGUUUAAAGUCUUCGACCAUUCAGUUGCCAAACGGUCUUGGCCAAACCUUCGCGGAUUGCCCUCUGGCAUUCGCUCGGUAGAUUUCUGUAUCCGUUUUCAUUCCGCAAUCAAGGCUUCCGUUUCAAUUCCACCCCCUCUUCAAACCCUCAUUCGUUUUGUUCCAGUAUAAAGGUGAGUGAUCGUUUCAUUCGCUUUGUACAUUCCCCGUUCGUCAGAUUGUCUGCAUCAGAGAGAUCAGCUCCGGUUGCAUCGACUACUUUGUGCUUUGAAAUUUUGAUGUUGAGAGAGAUGUCCAAGACGACUUCAACAUUGUCGCAAGGUUUUGGAGCAUUUUCUUUUCAGAGAAGCUUGGAAAUUCGGUGUACAGAACAUGAAUCCUCAAGGACUGCAAUGGGUAGCAGGGUAGCCGUGGAGAUGUGUGAGAUGGCUGAGUAUGGGACGCGCAGCCCCUGCCUGCGGCGGAGAAAGGAACAACAGGGGAAAUAGUAAUAGAGAGGAAGCAUGAGAGAGAAGUGCACGCAACUGAACAGACUCUCAAAUUCUCUGAUCUUGCUGCCCUCUAAUACCAGGUUUUGGAGAAUUUUUUCAAGCUUCGUGAUGCAAGAAAUAUGUUUUUUUCAGAAACUAUUAUAAAUUUUACCCAAGGUACUGCUCCUGUUCUUCCACCAUACUUCCGUUUAGAGUUGGUGCAAACUGAAAAAAGAAGUCACUUCUGAUUUUUACCAAUGUUAUCUUCCUGGAGCACUUUUAAAUGUUCCUGAUCAGUUUCACAUGUAAUGGAAUAAAGGCAUAGUUUUCUUGAUUUUUAUACUUUCAAAUAAUUUUUGUUGUUUACAUAUUUCUUUUCUUAAGUAACUUCUUAACUGUUGCAAAAUAGCUUAGAAGACCUAUUCAACCUCUUGCAUUUCAUGUAGGCUGAUCCUUGGUGCAGCUGGGCAUGGUAUGGCCAAAAUAAUUUUGAUCUUUUUCUUUAUAUUCACCCUCUGAUACAUUUGUAUUUUAAAUCUGUGUAGGUCGCACAGGCUGACUCAAAAGCCUUAUGAGAAUGGUGAUCUAUGAUUUAGUCUGUUGUGCAUUUACUUAUCAGUACAUAAUUCUUUUCCCUAUCCUCUGGUGUGACCCACAUUGAUGGCAAAUUGUAUGGCAACAGUCAACAGAUAUGAGCCAACUAUCUUCACAUGACUCUACAGGUGAAUUUUUAACAUUGAGAGUGUGGAAAACCGGGGAGCCAUGGUGCUUAUUCAUGCAGUAUGGAGAGGAUAGUUAUUAGGCGGUGUCAUUCAUCACCAUCAUCACCUUCAUUGCUGGGAACCAAAGGAUUGUUGCUAGGACCCUGAAAAGAUGAAUGAGGGCCAUAACCAAGAGGGGGGUAUAAUGGCUGAUUUGAGUACCAAAUGCAAAGCUAAUUGGUAAAAAUAUAAAGAUAGAGAACAUUCUGAUGGAUGAUAGUCUCUGCAAAAGUUAGUGGAUGGCAUCAAAGGGUUGACAUAUUCUCAGAAAUUUGUGCCACAAGUAGAGGAGCGAAAAUAUGAGUUGGAGAGGUUUUUCAGAAGCUGCAUCACCAACACUAAGUGGCACAACCGAUCCUUCUCUCAGGGGAACUUGCCCAUACAAAUCAUUGAAGACUGCAGUUCAGAUCACCAUCAAUUGUCUCAGCAAUGUUUCCAGUAAUCACCCUUCAAUAGAGGAUAUCCUCUUGAAUGUACAGUAUGGUUAAUUUUAUAAUUCAAUCAUGAAAUAGUACUCCAUCCUGGACCCCACAUUGUGUCGUAGCACUAUAUCUACAAGAAAGGACUCACACUCCAAUUUUUGCCAAGGUUAAUAUUCUCUUUUUUUUUUAGGUUGGGACUUACUUUGUGGGGCAGUACUACCAUAUGCUUCAGAAUCAGCCAGAGAUCGUGUUGAACGCUAAUGGAAGCUGAAAGUAAAAGGGAAGUAUUAAUUUUUUGGAGAAGUGAUCAAAGCCAUAUGGAGGCGGCAGCAGCAGGAAAACACUUUGAUGAUGCUAUUUGUUUGUUCAAUUGUCGUAAGGUCCAUGCCUGCCUAUGUAUAUGAGCUGCAAGAGAAUAUCAUGGUUGCGAAAAAAGUGGGUUGAUCUUCUGUGCUUAAACACUGGUGGUGCAUAGAAGAAUGGAUGAUGCCGAGGCCAUGGAGUAGACACUUGAUCACUUGGACACGGCACAGAAAGAGUUUCACAACUGAUUUUUUAUUUUGCCCAAGUUGAUAUUUCUUUAUUUUAAACUAUAUUCAUAUAAAUGAUCAGAUUUUAUGUCUUGGAGAAAUUACUGACAUAACUUCAGUUUCUGUUGUUUAUCACUCUCAUUUGUAUUUUUUUUGUUACAUGCCUUUUUUUUUGUUACAAUCA